rnacentral:rRNA from 1 species
GAUGAACGCUGGCGGCGUGCCUAAUACAUGCAAGUCGAGCGAACAGACGAGGACCUUGCUCCUCUGACGUUAGCGGCGGACGGGGGAGUAACACGUGGAUAACCUACCUAUAAGACUGGGAUAACUUCGGGAAACCGGAGCUAAUACCGGAUAAUAUAUUGAACCGCAUGGUUCAUUAGUGAAAGACGGUUUUGCUGUCACUUAUAGAUGGAUCCGCGCCGCAUUAGCUAGUUGGUAAGGUAACGGCUUACCAAGGCAACGAUGCGUAGCCGACCUGAGAGGGUGAUCGGCCACACUGGAACUGAGACACGGUCCAGACUCCUACGGGAGGCAGCAGUAGGGAAUCUUCCGCAAUGGGCGAAAGCCUGACGGAGCAACGCCGCGUGAGUGAUGAAGGUCUUCGGAUCGUAAAACUCUGUUAUUAGGGAAGAACAAAUGUGUAAGUAACUAUGCACGUCUUGACGGUACCUAAUCAGAAAGCCACGGCUAACUACGUG